AUUGAACGCUGGCGGCAGGCCUAACACAUGCAAGUCGAACGAGUGGCGGACGGGUGAGUAAUGUCUGGGAAAAUGCCUGAUGGAGGGGGAUAACUACUGGAAACGGUAGCUAAUACCGCAUACCAUCGGAUGUGCACAGAUGGGAUUAGCUAGUAGGUGGGGUAAAUGCUCACCUAGGCGACGAUCCCUAGCUGGUAUGAGGGGCUGACCAGCCACACUUGAACUGAGCCACGGUCCAGACUCCUACGGGAGGCAGCAUUGGGGAAUAUUGCACAAUGGGCGCAAGCCUGAUGCAGCCAUGCCGCGUGUAUGAAGAAGGCCUUCGGGUUGUAAAGUACUUUCAGCGUGGAGGCGUUACCCGCAGAAGAAGCACCGGCUAACUCCGUGCCAGCAGCCGCGGUAAUUC
rnacentral:rRNA from 1 species